rnacentral:rRNA from 1 species
GACGAACGCUGGCGGCGUGCUUAACACAUGCAAGUCGAACGAAGUGGCGAACGGGUGAGUAACGCGUAAUCAACCUGCCCUUCAGCGGGGGACAUCAGUUGGAAACGACUGCUAAUACCGCAUAAUGAAGGAGGGGAUUGCGUCUGAUUGGCUAGUUGGAGGGGUAACGGCCCACCAAGGCGAGGAUCAGUAGCCGGUCUGAGAGGAUGAACGGCCACAUUGGGACUGAGACACGGCCCAGACUCCUACGGGAGGCAGCAGUGGGGAAUCUUCCGCAAUGGACGAAAGUCUGACGAAGCAACGCCGCGUGAGUGAUGACGGCCUUCGGGUUGUAAAGCUCUGUUAAUCGGGACGCGGUACCGGAAGAGAAAGCCACGGCUAACUACGUGCCAGCAGCCGCGGUAAUUC